CCUACGGGAGGCAGCAGUGGGGAAUAUUGGUCAAUGGAGGAAACUCUGAACCAGCAACGCCGCGUGAAUGAUGAAGGUCUUCGGAUUGUAAAGUUCUUUUCUAAGGGAAGAAGAAAGUGACGGUACCUUAGGAAUCAGCCUCGGCUAACUACGUGCCAGCAGCCGCGGUAAUACGUAGGAGGCGAGCGUUAUCCGGAAUGACUGGGCGUAAAGGGUGCGUAGGUGGUUUGACAAGUUGGUAGCGUAACUCCGGGGCUCCACCUCGGAACUACUCCCAAAACUGUCGGACUGGAGUGCAGGAGGGGCAAGUGGAAUUCCUAGUGUAGCGGUGAAAUGCGCAGAUAUUAGGAGGAACACCGGUGGCGAAGGCGAAUUGCUGGACUGUAACUGACACUGAGGCACGAAAGCGUGGGGAGCAAACAGGAUUAGAUACCCUAGUAGUC
rnacentral:rRNA from 1 species